UGCUGACUCAUGAGAGGUGAAUUAGAAAGUACGACUAUGAAUUCUUGUCCAUCAGAGUAUGGAGCAGCUAUUAAUCUUGUUAUAUUUUGUACACAAGGAGAAAAGGUGCUGACUCAUGAGAGGUGAAUUAGAAAGUACGACUAUGAAUUCUUGUCCAUCAGAGUAUGGAGCAGCUAUUAACUUGAAUUAGUUUGACAGUGAAACAGUACCAAAGAAAUGCUGAUUUCAAACCUCAAUAUCUUUUCAAAAUAAUCGUUUAUUGUGCUGCAUGGCAAAAUCACGUGAAGCAGCUCCUAGCAAUUUAUGACAAGUAACACAUCUGCUAUACAUUUUUUGGCGGCGAAAAAACAGUUCCCCCCGCCCCGCCCCCCCCUCAUAUUUCACAAUCUUCAGUGCCAAUGUUUGGACACGACGAAAUCAGAAUAUUGUAGCUGAAUCUGCUGGCAGUCCAGUCGAGGUAGACUUGCUAAUGCAGAAAGGGGGAAAGCAGCACAGCCGAUUCCUCUGUAAAGACGAUUCUUUGUUUCUAAAGGAUGUUUUCCAGCUUUGUGUGCAUGUGAAAUUGCUGGACAUUUUUUCUGGAUUGAUUAUCAUUUAUCACUAGUAGAAGGCGAUGAGUUAACUAUAGGGACUUGUAUUUUGUGGGACUCUUCUUUCUGUGAGAUUAUGUGCUACAGUGGAAUUUCUAAAUUUUAGUUCAGUCUACUAUGGACAUUAGAGUGUAUUGGGGCAAAUAAUGAUACUAAGUUUCUUACUUUC
rnacentral:lncRNA from 1 species